GUCUACGGCCAUAACACCCUGAACACGCCCAGUCUCAUCUGAUCUCAGAAGCUAAGCAGGGUCAGGCUUGGUUAGUACUUGGAUGGCAGACUACCUAGGAAUAUCAGGUGCUAUAGGCA
rfam:Pteropus alecto contig89833, whole genome shotgun sequence.